UUGAACUGGUGCUUGAGUUCCCACCACUUUCGAUGAUCCGUAAAUGGACAAGUCAAUGCCUUGAGCCUUCUCUUUCUCUAUCUGUUCCUUGAUCCAGAAGUAUGUAAUUCUCAGCCCAUCCUGCAAAAUAGCAUAUGUGACUCGUUAUUGGUGAAGCAGCAAGUACAAAAUACAUAAGCUAUUAAAAAUGGCCUUGUUGCGAAUUGUUUCCGAGUAAGUUCCACUUGCAUUCAAAAUGUAACCAACACCAGAUCUUGUUAGCGAGGUACCUUCAGCUUCAUUGUUGGUGCCCAACCA
rnacentral:misc_RNA from 1 species